CUUGAGGAAAGACUCAGAUUAUGCAAAUACUUUAAGGUCUUCAGGCUUAAAAUGGUUGUGUCAUAAUAUGUAAUAUGUAAUAAUAUGUAACAUGUAAUACGUCAUAAUAUGAAAGAUGCAGGAGAAGAAUAUGGUCCAACUCAAAGUUCCGGGAAAGAGAGCAGAAGUGGAGGGGUCACACUUCUGAAUGUGAUAGAGAGUUCUGCCUUUGGACAUAACAAAUGCUGUUUGAGCUCAGAUCCUGGAGAGGCUGACUGAAGAAUCACUGGUAACUGUGAAAUCUGAAAGUUCAAGUGGAGUAGCUGUGACAGAAGCAGAAGUCUGAGCUGCCAUAAGUGGGUGAUUCCAGGAAGGACAAAAGGACUUGAGCUAUCCCUUGAAUGAAGAGUUAGCGUCCAGUUAUUAGCAAG
rnacentral:lncRNA from 1 species